rnacentral:rRNA from 1 species
ACUCCUACGGGAGGCAGCAGUGGGGAAUAUUGCACAAUGGGCGCAAGCCUGAUGCAGCCAUGCCGCGUGUAUGAAGAAGGCCUUCGGGUUGUAAAGUACUUUCAGCAGUGAGGAAGGCGGAGUCGUUAAUAGCGGCCUCGUUUGACGUUAGCUGCAGAAGAAGCACCGGCUAACUCCGUGCCAGCAGCCGCGGUAAUACGGAGGGUGCGAGCGUUAAUCGGAAUUACUGGGCGUAAAGCGCAUGCAGGUGGUUUGUUAAGUCAGAUGUGAAAGCCCGGGGCUCAACCUCGGAAUUGCAUUUGAAACUGGCAGACUAGAGUACUGUAGAGGGGGGUAGAAUUUCAGGUGUAGCGGUGAAAUGCGUAGAGAUCUGAAGGAAUACCGGUGGCGAAAGGCGGCCCCCUGGACAGAUACUGACACUCAGAUGCGAAAGCGUGGGGAGCAAACG